rnacentral:misc_RNA from 1 species
AAAGUGCGAUACGUGGUGCGACCUGCACGAACCUGUGAGUCAUCGAAUCUUUGAACGCAACUUGCGCCCUCGGGCAUGUGUGUUUGAGCCGGUCUUAAAGCAAAAUGAAGCAUCGCUUCGUGCUGGGGGACGACGCGUCGCCCCCGAAACGCGUGUCUGCGGCGCGGCCAGGACGGUGCGACGGGCCCCAGGGCCCGAGCAUUUGGCCGCGCCAACACCACCUGCCGCUCAGCCACACAAGAUCACCCGCUGGACUUAA